rnacentral:lncRNA from 10 species
AGCGACCUGUGCGCGGCGUCUGAGCGAGCUGCAGCCGGAAGAACAUUCGGUUGUUGAUAUUGCCUCAGCCUUUUGGAGCAUUCUUUUGCGCUGCUUGUAGAGUGAAUUGGGGUCCCUUCCUCCUGGGUUAGGGUAGUGGGUUAGACACUGAGUCAUAUGAACCCGCUGGAGCUUUAGUUUCCCACAUGACCCCCGGGCGUCAUGGUGUUUGAGAAAUUCUGAGUUGGAGCUAGAGGCGCCCACCUCCCUAAGGGUUUUUACUUCGUAAGAAAUUUGACGGCUGGUUUUCUGCUUGGGAGGUCAGAAACCAAAGUAUCUUCCCGGUCUUCCCCCGGGAGAGAUAACAUCUCCUGAGGAGAAACAACCACGCAAGAGGCAGCUGUCGGGGAGCCUCAGAAUACUUGUUUAUGAAAUCUGAUUGAAUGGGUGCGCCACGCAAUUUCCCUUGAGACCUAACAACAGCAGCGACCCUUUAGGGAGCUCUCACUGCGGCUGUGCUCUCCAGCCAAAGACCAUCGAGAACACUCCUGUAGCUGGACAAAGUGGAGUUUAUGGUCUUGCAAGUAGGGCAGUACGCCGUGGGAAACACCGGGACGUCUUUGGAAGAGGGUGUUGGAAAGAAUUUACAGGGUUUGGGCAGGGUUUAAGGAAGCAGAGCUUCUCUCUGGAUUAGAUGCAGUCAGGAGGUGGGGGUAAUUCUAUGAUUGGGUAAUUU